rnacentral:rRNA from 1 species
AAUAGAUACCCAGGUAGUCCACGCCGUAAACGAUGAGUGCUAGGUGUUAGGGGGGUUUCCGCCCCUUAGUGCUGCAGCUAACGCAUUAAGCACUCCGCCUGGGGAGUACGGUCGCAAGACUGAAACUCAAAGGAAUUGACGGGGGCCCGCACAAGCGGUGGAGCAUGUGGUUUAAUUCGAAGCAACGCGAAGAACCUUACCAGGUCUUGACAUCCUGCUGACCGCCAUGGAGACAUGGCUUUCCCUUCGGGGGACAGCGGUGACAGGUGGUGCAUGGUUGUCGUCAGCUCGUGUCGUGAGAUGUUGGGUUAAGUCCCGCAACGAGCGCAACCCUUGUCCUUAGUUGCCAUCAUUCAGUUGGGCACUCUAAGGAGACUGCCGUACAAAUCGGAGGAAGGUGGGGAUGACGUCAAAUCAUCAUGCCCCUUAUGACCUGGGCUACACACGUGCUACAAUGGGCAGUCAAAGGGCUGCAACCCGGCAGGGGGANCGAAUCCCAAAAAGCUGCUCUCAGUUCGGAUUGC